UUGAUAUAAGCUAUGUACUUGGA
rnacentral:piRNA from 1 species